AACGAACGCUGGCGGCAUGCCUAACACAUGCAAGUCGAACGAGACCUUCGAGUCUAGUGGCGCACGGGUGCGUAACGCGUGGGAACCUGCCCUUAGGUUCGGAAUAACUCCCCGAAAGGGGUGCUAAUACCGGAUAAUGUCUUCGGACCAAAGAUUUAUCGCCUUUGGAUGGGCCCGCGUUGGAUUAGCUAGUUGGUAGGGUAAAAGCCUACCAAGGCGACGAUCCAUAGCUGGUCUGAGAGGAUGAUCAGCCACACUGGGACUGAGACACGGCCCAGACUCCUACGGGAGGCAGCAGUGGGGAAUAUUGGACAAUGGGCGAAAGCCUGAUCCAGCAAUGCCGCGUGAGUGAUGAAGGCCUUAGGGUUGUAAAGCUCUUUUACCCGGGAAGAUAAUGACAGUACCGGGAGAAUAAGCUCCGGCUAACUCCGUG
rnacentral:rRNA from 1 species